UACGGAGGGUGCGAGCGUUAAUCGGAAUAACUGGGCGUAAAGGGCACGCAGGCGGGCUUUUAAGUGAGAUGUGAAAUCCCCGGGCUUAACCUUGGAAUAGCAUUUGAGACUGGGGGUCUAGAGUACUUUAGAGAGGGGUAGAAUUCCCCGUGUAGCGGUGAAAUGCGUAGAGAUGUGGAGGAAUACCGAAGGCGAAGGCAGCCCCUUGGGAAUGUACUGACGCUGAUGUGCGAAAGCGUGGGGAGCAAACAGG
rnacentral:rRNA from 1 species